rnacentral:sRNA from 1 species
GCUUAGCCCAGAUUGAAGCGACAUCCUUUUUUUGCCAUUAAAAGCAAAAAAAGAUAUAGUGGAAAGCUGGAAAUGGC